GCCAUAGCUCAGUGGUAGAGCAUUUACUUUGCAUGCAAAAGGUUCCAGGUUCUGUGGCAUCUCCAGGUAGGACUG